rnacentral:misc_RNA from 1 species
GUCAUCAUGCUUUGAAAGUAGUUCUGAAUUAUCCUCAGCAGAUUGGUUUCUUCUCAUUCGAAAGAGACUUCUGUCACGAGACUUGGAUUGAGCUCUUCCUUUGAUACCAUACCAUAUCUUGCACUGCCAAAUCUAGAGCUAGAAACCCGAUUUGCAGACUUGAAAGUAGAUUCAACUCCAUCAAUCUCUCCCAGAAAUCCAGACUGUCCCUCUGUUCCAGCCAUAAGUUCCUUCAAAUUGCUCCGAAACCCCAAAUCUGAANNNNNCCUCCUUGAAUCCUUUACUGAUUGCAUAGCAACUUUACCAUCUGUACCAUCCAAAUUCUCCUCUCCAACACCAUCUGGUCUUGGACCAAACAGGUUAUUUCUCAACUCAAUUGGACGCCCCAUUGUCUCCACCAUCAUACAUGGAUUAUUGAAUCCAUUCCAUGAAUGAAGGGGAACCAAUUUACUCAAAGCAGUUAGCCAAUCAACAACCUCCUUCAUUGCUGGCCUCCUUUCCC